rnacentral:piRNA from 1 species
UCCUUAUCGAGUAUUUUCUUUUAAAGGUU